rnacentral:rRNA from 1 species
UUUCAUUGGAGAGUUUGAUCCUGGCUCAGGACGAACGCUGGCGGCGUGCUUAACACAUGCAAGUCGAACGGAAAGGCCC